rnacentral:rRNA from 1 species
UUAAUUGGAGAGUUUGAUCCUGGCUCAGGACGAACGCUGGCGGCGUGCCUAACACAUGCAAGUCGAGCGGGGUUACUGGGGUUCAGCUUGCUGAACGCCACUGACCCAGCGGCGGACGGGUGAGUAACGCGUGAGCAAUCUGCCUCAUACAGGGGGAUAACAGGCGGAAACGCCUGCUAAUACCGCAUAAGACCACGCCACCGCAUGGUGGAGCGGUCAAAGGGUGCACAGACGAGAGGCUGUGCAUACCGGUAUGAGAUGAGCUCGCGUCCCAUUA